rnacentral:lncRNA from 1 species
GCGCCCAGAGGCACUUAGGAGGCACCCAGAGGGGCUUAUGGGGCACCCAAGGGUGCUUAUGGGGCACCCAGAGGCACUUAUGGGGCAUUAGAAGUACAGAUGGGGCACCCAAGGGCACUUAUGGGGCACCCAAGGUACUUAUGGGGCACCCAGAGGCACUUAUGGGGCACCCAAGGGCACUUAUGGGGCACCCAAGGUACUUAUGGGGCACCCAGAGGCACUUAUGGGGCACCCAAAUGCACUUAUGGGGCACCCAAUGGCACUUAUGGGGCACCCAGAGGCACUUAUGGGGCACCCAGAGGUGCUCAUGGGGCAUUAGAAGUACUUAUGGGGCACCCAGAGGUGCUUAUGGGGCACCCAGAGAUACUUAGGGGGCACCCAAAGGCACUUAUGGGGCACCCAGAGGUGCUUAUGGGGCACCCAGAGAUACU